rnacentral:rRNA from 1 species
AUGGAUCUGAAUAUUCAUAUCACAAGUAAGAAGAAUUACAUUGAAAUUAUGCCAACUAGCAUUCCACAUCAAAAAUUAUCUUUUUAUCAUUUACCUACUCGAGGACGAGCAGGAAUUAAGCUUGGGGAUGCUAGAUACGUCUCCAACGUAUCUAUAAUUUUUGAUUGCUCCAUGCUAUAUUAUCUAUUGUUUUGGGCAAUAUUGGGCUUUAUUUUCCACUUUUAUAUUAUUUUUGGGACUAACCUAUUAACCGGAGGCCCAGCCCAGAUUUGCUGUUUUAUGCCUAUUUCAGUGUUUCGAAGAAAAGGAAUAUCAAACGGAGUCGAAACGGAACGAAAUCAACUGGAAAAGUUAUUUUUGGAACGAAAGCCACCGGAUAGACUUGGACUCCACGUUAGGAGAUACGGGAAGUGCUCACGAGGGUGGGGGCGCGCCUCCCCACCCCUAGGGCGCGCCCCGUGCCUCAUGGGGCCCCCGUGGCUCCUCCGACGUACUUCCUGCACCCAUAUAUAUCGUCGUACCCUAAAACUUCCAGAACACACAAUAGAUCGGGAGUUCCGCCGCCAGAAGCCUCCGUAG